AUGGAGCCCAAAUGUCGGCUCCUCGGGCAGCCCAUCCCUGCUGAGCCCCAAGCCCCCGAGGUGCACGUCCUCCACUCCUCCUGCACCACCAAGCCAGGUGCCAUCCAGCUGCUCUGCUUCAUCUCCGGCUUCUACCCUGAGCCUUUGAAGGUGGAAUGGCUGGUUAACGGCGAGCCCGGGUUACUUCACGGGGACACUGCCCCUGCCAAGAAGGACGCCGACGGCCGCACCUUCAUCACCCGCAGCAAUGCCAGCGUCUCCCAGGAUGUGUGGCUGGAGGGCAAGACGUACACCUGCCAGGUGUCCCACCCGGGCACUGGGAGCAAAAAGCAGGCCCACGCCCGCAAGUGCGAAGAAGAAACAACAUCUCCCAGCAACAUCCAGGUCUUCCUGGUGCCCCCAUCUCCUGCCGCCCUGUACGUGGCCCAGAGCCCCAUGCUCACCUGCCUGGUGGUCAACCUGCCUAGCGACUCCGGCCUCCAGGUGGUCUGGUCCCGGGAGAAGCCAGGGUCCAUUAUCCCUGAUCCCCUGACCCUCACUGAGCAGUUCAACAACACCUUCACCGCCUCCAGCUCCAUGCCCAUCUUCACCCGGGACUGGGAGGCCGGCGAGACCUUCACUUGCAAAGUGGAGCACUCGGACCUGAUCUCGCCCCUCAUCAAAUCGAUCUCCAAGAAGCCAGGCAAGCACUCCGCCCCGGGCGUCUACCUCCUGCACCCCCACAGUGAAGAGCUGAGCAGCAAAGGAGACUCUGUCAGUGUCACCUGCCUGGUGCGGGGCUUCUUCCCCGAGGACAUCUCGGUGCAGUGGAUGAAGAACCAUGAAGGUGAAAAGGAGACCAACUACAUCACCACCCCGCCCAUGAAGGAUGGAGCCAGCGACUCGAACUUCUUCCUCUACAGCAAGCUGAAAGUCAGCAAGGCCAGCUGGAACAGCGGGGACACCUACACCUGCAUGAUCACCCACGAAGCCCUCUCAUUGAAGUUCACCCAACGCAGCAUCAGCAAAAUCUCUGAGGUGAUCGUGUCUGGUGAGUUUUGCAGCGAGGACGAGGAUGAGGAGCUGGAUGGACUCUGGUCAAGCAUCUCGGUCUUCAUCACCCUCUUCCUCUUGAGCGUGUGCUACAGCGCAACCGUGACCCUGUUCAAGGUGAAGUGGUUUUUCUCCACCCUGGUGCAGCUGAAGAAGGCGAGUGGCCCCGAGUACAAGAACGUGAUCCAGCGCGUGGUGUAG